UACGAAGGGAGCUAGCGUUGUUCGGAAUCACUGGGCGUAAAGCGCACGUAGGCGGAUUUGUCAGUCAGGGGUGAAAUCCCGGGGCUCAACCUCGGAACUGCCUUUGAUACUGAGGAUCUUGAGUUCGGGAGAGGUGAGUGGAACUGCGAGUGUAGAGGUGAAAUUCGUAGAUAUUCGCAAGAACACCAGUGGCGAAGGCGGCUCACUGGCCCGAUACUGACGCUGAGGCACGAGAGCGUGGGGAGCAAACAGG
rnacentral:rRNA from 1 species